rnacentral:rRNA from 1 species
GACGAACGCUGGCGGCGUGCCUAAUACAUGCAAGUUGAGCGCUGAAGGUUGGUACUUGUACCAACUGGAUGAGCAGCGCACGGGUGAGUAACGCGUGGGGAAUCUGCCUUUGAGCGGGGGACAACAUUUGGAAACGAAUGCUAAUACCGCAUAAAACCUUUAAACACAAGUUUUAAGUUUGAAAGAUGCAAUUGCAUCACUCAAAGAUGAUCCCGCGUUGUAUUAGCUAGUUGGUGAGGUAAAGGCUCACCAAGGCGAUGAUACAUAGCCGACCUGAGAGGGUGAUCGGCCACAUUGGGACUGAGACACGGCCCAAACUCCUACGGGAGGCAGCAGUAGGGAAUCUUCGGCAAUGGACGAAAGUCUGACCGAGCAACGCCGCGUGAGUGAAGAAGGGUGUCGGAUCGUAAAACUCUGUUGGUAGAGAAGAACGUUGGUGAGAGUGGAAAGCUCAUCAAGUGACGGUAACUACCCAGAAAGGGACGGCUAACUACGUG